rnacentral:tRNA from 1 species
AAUAAGUUGGCAGAAUAGUGCCACCGACUUAGAAUCGGUUCAUGGGGUUACCCACUUAUUA